GACAGAGGUGCCGAGCGUUAGGCGGAAUCACUGGGCUUAAAGCGUGUGUAGGCGGGUCGGUAAGUGGCUUGUGAAAUCCCACAGCUCACCUGUGGAACUGCUUGGCAUACUGGCGAGCUUGAGCCACUUAGGGGCAACCGGAACAAACGGUGGAGCGGUGAAAUGCGUAGAUAUCGUUUGGAACGCCAAUGGUGAAAACAGGUUGCUGGGAGUGUGCUGACGCUGAGACACGAAAGCCAGGGGAGCAAACGGG
rnacentral:rRNA from 1 species